ACGACCUGCAGAUCCCAACACUCCAGGAUGGUGCAGGACAUCAGUCUCAAGGCAUCUUCCUUCAUGUUCUCUGGGGGAGAGACUGACUGUGGGAAUCAGCCUUGGUUGCAAAGGGAAGCUGAGAGAAGAGAGCAGCGCAGGGCACGGACAUGCCAGCCCAGUUACUGGAGAUAUCUGCCGCUGGAGACGGGUUCAGAGCCUAGUUUAAUAUCCCGAAGCAGGAAAGCUGAGAAUGUGCUGGAAAUGCUUGUUGAGGCCGACGUGUCAGGCAGCCCAUCAGUGCAGGAUGGAGCCUCGGUUGCAGAGAACUGCAGGGAGGUGGUGUGGAAGCUCAUUGGCUGUAAGAACUGCUCCGCUGCGACAGUGCUGCUGGAGGUGGUGGUGAACAGAUUUCUGAUGCCAAGCUGAUCAUCGUCUCAGCACCAGCAAAGACAUGCUAUUCCCGUCCCUGACGAGCAUUUCCUUCUUGAGAAAGUGAUUUUGAGGGGCUGCAGAUGUACUUGGAGGAAGGUUUGGGCCGGGACAGAUGACGUGCCCAUGUGGGAGCUGGACGGCCCCUCUCUGGGUAGCUCCCUGGGAACUCCCAUGUCCGCCUCCCGCUGCCUCCUGAUCCAAGGUGGAUGCACUUCAUUUGAGGCCUGGUCUUUCGUCCUUCCCUCUCCUCUUCGGGGACCACUUUGUCUAGUGCUAGACUCAUUGUGCUUCCCCCUUGGGGCUUCCUUCAGCCCUCAGCCGAUUCAAGACUUCAAAAGGAAGUUGGACAUGGAGAGGAAAAAAGAAAUGAAACCAGGAAGGAACCGCCAAGAAGCACACAACGCGUUUAUGCUGCCUUAACCACACGCUUGACUCUAAAUGGGUUUAAAAAUUCUUACUUGUGUUAGCCCAAGAAAGUUUCUGCAGCCGUCUUUUUGGUUUAAACAAUCAAAUACUCAAUAAUUCUGGGGCUGGUGGGCCAGGAUAUGGGUUACUCAGAUCUUCUGCUUCACCCCAUGCUCGGUCCCUGAGCCAGUUCUGUCAUUGGUUCUUUCAGACCAGGGCAGGAAAAGUCAAGAAAGCAAAAGCGGAUUCUAGGCUGUGGGGUUUGCUGUUUGCUAGCCCCCUGGCAGAGAUGCCUGUCCUUGCAGUCCUGAACUGGUGGCCAAGUGUGCAUGCAUGCACGUGCAGGUGUGUGCAUGUGCAGGUGUGCAUGCGUGUAUGUGCGCACACACAUUCAUGCUUGUACAUGUUUGUGUACACGCACACUUUUUUCUGCUUUCAAUUUCAAGCUGUUGCCUCCCUGAUGUGUCUGUUUAGUGACUUGAGCCAGAAAGAUUCCCGGUUCUAUGUGGGAUGAGAAUGAACGCAGGCAGGUCUCCACAGAAGUGAGUAAAGUAGAGCUGAGAAGAAGGACAUUGUCUCAUGCCAGCCUGUCCAAUAGCCACUUUGCCCCAGCCCUGCCUCAAGCCCCAGAGAGAUGACAAGGCUCUCUCUGUUUGUCGACUCCUUGAAGCUCAGAAAGGUGGGUCAAGAGGUGCCCGUCAAGCGUUUAGGCAAGCACAGGACCCUGAUCUUUACUAAGUCUCCACAUCUCUCUUGCACAGCCCUGGGCUCAGGGCUUGGUCCCCUCUGGGCAGGCCAUCCAGACUAAGUGACAGUCAGAUUGUGUGUGGGGAGGCUAGAGACAUCCAUUCUUCAUGGAUCAGCCUGAAUGGCUGGACAGAUCUUGCAAAUGGAUUGUGUAAGACAGAGUGUGGAAGAGGAGGCUGUGAUCAGUGGCUUGGAGAGCAGAGUGUGGUCAGGCGCUAAACCUAAGGCUUUUCUGGGAAGAGCUGUUAAGAUUAGACUGUUCUCCCAAAAAGCCAAUAAUUCUGAGUGUCUCCAUUAAUGCCUAGGUAGCCCAUACUCUCACCCAGCCGGUGCCCUUCAGCCUGGAACCUUUGGAUGGAGGAUUGGACCUUGUGACCUUCAAGUUCCCUUCCGAACCAAAUAUGCUCUAACCCAGGAGAUGGUGCUGUUGCCCAGGAAGCCGGUCACCAUGACGAGAGUACCCGCUCAGAUGAGGAUGCAGGCGGAGGCGGUGAAGGUGCUGGAGGCCAGGAUGCUGAGGUAGCUGCUCCUCUCCACCAGGGUCCAGAUGCCCAUGGCCAGGACAGCUGCCCCCCUGACCUGCAGGAGACCACCAGGUUGGAGCAGGGGGUGGCGGGGGCCUCAGGAGCUGCCAUUCCUUGAGUGCCCGCUGGGUACCAGGCACUUCUCGUGCAUUGUCUUAUUCAAUUUAGGCCUCCUAAGAGCCUGUGAGAACAGUGUGGUGGCCUAGCUUUACAGAUGAGGAAACGGAGGCUGAGAGAGGUUUGCAGGCUUGUCCAAGGUCACACAUGUAAGCGAGCUGCAGAUUUUGAAUCUGGGUCUGACUUCUGAUUCUGUGCAUCUUACUAUGGUUCCUACUGCAUAUGAGGCGGGGAGAAAUGACUUCAGUUUUGGGGAUGACUAAUAUACCUGAGUCCCUUCGCCUCCCCUCCCCUCAGAGCGCUCCCUCCCUCUGUCCACGUUUCCCUGAUGGAUGUGGAGGUGCCAUUUUGAGCACCUCCCCUUGUUCAAUCCUUAUAUUUGCCCAUUGGGGAAGCACGGCUGGGCCCCUUAUCCCUCCCUGUUCUACAGAGGAAGGAACUGAGGCCCAUGGAGGAGAGGUAAAUGGCCCGAGUUAGGGGCAGGGCCAGGACCAGGACUCAGAGCCCAGGGCCUGCUUGCUCAGUCUCGCUGCCUCCAUGAUGGAAGGGCCACUGUGCUGGACAAGUUGGAGCUCCCUGGGACCACAGGAGGAGGGAGGAGAGCCUUCUUUGCUGUCUGACUCCCUUUCAGUCCUGAGAGGGGGCAGGGACGGGACACUGCUGAUUUGCAGGUCUGGGGGAUGCCUUCUUGGAAAUAGAGUACCUGGGAAAUGUAGCUGGGGUGGUGGGGCUUGACUGUUCUUUCCUGCCAUGAAGCUGAGGAGCCUUUUAGUGACUGUUAUCCUCAGCAGAGCAUAGUGGGUGGGUGCAAGUGUCCUCAAGGUGCCAGAUGGGGGCUGUUUGGAGUGUUUUCCCAGGAUUUGGGUCCUCUGGGACCUCUGACCAUCUCUGUCAUUUGCUCCUGGGAAGGUGGACUUCUGUCUCCCAGUCUCUCUGCCCGCCAUUUAGGGACGGGUCCAUUUCCUCUGAUGGUCAGUAGAUGCUUCCUCAAGGGGUCUUGGGUGUAGCCAAAGCUAGAGAAGCCCUCCCGGGCUCUGUUCACAUCCCCUGAUGCUUUUCCCUGCAAGUUGUCUCCCGUCUGCCCCAGGAAGACUCUCUGUAUAACCUAACCUGUCACUUCCCAGUUCUCUGUUCCGGGGAGUCGCAGACCUUGGCUGAGUAAAUGGAAGGUGGUUCUUAGCAAUGAACAGGCACCUACAUUACUCAACUCGCAAGUAUUUUACCAUUUUGCCAUUUUCUCUUCUGAGCUUUGCAACAGCUCUGUGAGGAUGGGGCCGGGCAGGAGGGGCCAGGCUAUCCCUGUCUUGCAGAUAAGAAAAUUGAGGCUUGGAGAGAAUAAGAAUGUGCCCAAGAUGACACCAUCAGAGGGUCAGAAUUGAGGUGCAAACCCAGUUAUUUGAGGGCAAAUCCAGGCCUCUGUCCUUGGAUCCCCCAGAGUAGGCUGGGCCUGCUUCUCUCUUACUUCUACGUUUUUAAUAGACAUGAUUUCUUCAAAGUGCCAUUUUAUCUCCAUAGGUACCUCCAGACACCACCCAGGCUGCAGCAAAUGGAAUGGGAGAGGCUAACACACCAUAAUUUUUCAAUUCCAUGAUGCCCAUUUUUUCUCACAUUUUAACGUCUCUAAAAUUGGGGCACAUCUUAUGAUUGAUGGCAUCUUACAAUUACACUUGGCAGUACUUUUUCUUGGUGAUACAAAAAAACAACAGUGUAUCUUACAACUGAUAGCUUAGAUUCAGUGAAAUCCUAGAAUACAACAGGUUUGAAAAUUCUCUGUGGGUGAGUGUUAUCUGUGGCCCAUACAACCUCCAUGACCAGUGAGGGAUUUCCUGAGUCUGGGUUCCAGCAAAAUAUCCUGGACAGAAUUCUUUUUGACCCUCUACAGCAUGCCUGGAAGGCUUGGGCACGGGUCCCAACUGUGUAUAACUAGCUCCGUGACCUAAAGAGAGUCCCUGAACCUCUCCAGACCUCAGUUUCUUCACCUCUCGAAGAAGGGAGUGAGUUAUAUUAGACCAGUAGUUCCCAGCCUGUAACUACCAAGGACCGUUUGAUUAUUUUUUCCCAUGGGUUUUAUGUUUUGAGGGCUUUUGCCUAUCAACGUGCAUUAAUUAAGUAAUAAUUCACUUCUCAUUUUUUAUUAAUCAAAGGCACAUAUAGUGCCAGGAAGAGAUUCUGAACAGCAUGAGACAGUCAACUUGACCACACUGAGUUGAUCUAACUCCAGCAAAAGGCCAAGAAUCUUGGCUUUUCAUGAGAAUAGCCUCUUUAUAGAAAUAUGCACAUUAUCUGUGAUCUGUUAGGCUUCUUAAGCCUGUCCCUCAAACCAGAGUGGGGGCUGAGCAUAUGGCUCUGGGGCCACCAAAAGACAUAUGUUUGGACUGGUCUGGGGACCAUCUGUUGGGAGACACAGAACCUCACUGAAAGCCUGAUGAAAAGCUUUGCAUCCUUUGCCCAGAGAAAUGGUCAUUCACACAAAACAAUACCCUUGGGGCCAGGGGCUGAAGUCUAUUUUGCACUACCUAAUGACCUGUGGCCUUUAUGGUCUGUAGGCCUCCUGCACCCCUAUGGUGCCCUAAGACCUGGCUGUACAAUCACCUGGGGAGCUUUGAAAAACCCAGGCCCCCCUGCAGGCCCAUCCGUGUCUGUGGGAGUGGGACCCAGCCAUGAAUUUUUUAUGAAGUUCCUGGGUGAUCCCAGCUGAGAACCAUUGCCCAGAAUUAACGAAUGGGGUCCAGGUGUCCUGCCCUCCUCUUCCCAGUUGGUGACGCUGUGCUGAGCCUCGCAGAACACAGCGGCUUCCCGGUCGCUCAGUCCCAGGAGGGGCCCCUUGAAGCUCCAGGUUCCCUCCCCUGGGAGGAGUUGCCUGGAGGGCUACUGAGAUUUGUUCAGGACCUGAACCCCAUCCUUUCCUUCCGUGUGUUUGUUAGGGUGUUUGCUUUGGCAGAAGCUUUAAGGUAGAAAGUGGGGUAAUCCUGAGGAACAGAAUUUUCAUCUAAAGGGGCAAAAAUCAGAUUAUGCAAGAAAGGAAAAAACCAUGGCUCCCAGGGGAGUCGGAGGCUAUGAGAAAUGCAGCCCCGGAGAGGAGCAGUGUGGAUCUGGCCGACGGAGGCCUGCUCUCUGCCAGGGCACCUGCAGGCCACACAAAUGGGGCUGGGAUCUUGCAAAGCUUGCAAAGUGACGCCGGAUCCUGGGCCACGGGGCAGGGUCUGGAAGGGGUCUGGAGGGACACAUUUCCCUGAUUCAGGUCUAGAGAACAACAAAUCCACAUGCAUUGCUGUCCAGAAGAAAUCAGGAGAUGAGUCUGGGUCAACGGGGCCUGGUUAUACUUAGCCAGGGGUCUGCAGGAGCCAGAGUGCUGCAAGUCCUCCGGGAAGCUCCUGCCGGGGACGUGGUCAGCUCUUUAGAAAGCAAGCUUUCCUCUGAGCAAGGGAAGGAAAACUGCUCACUGUUGGAAUGGGUCACCAGAGGGUGCCACGGGAGGGCGGAAGUCAGCAGGUCUGCAUGCCAGUCCUGGCCGUGCCCUUGACUGGGUAUGUGACUGUGGACAGACAGUUGGCCUCUCAAAGCCUUAGUUUCUUCAUCUGCAAAUUGGGGGCACUGGAUGGGAAUAUCUCUGAGGUCCCUUCCACAUGGUUAAACUGUCCCUGUUAGUAUUGGGCAACAGUGUUCUGCCAAGACACCACCAGCAAGAUGCUUCUGGACCAGCGGCUCAUGGCUGUCACUCAAACCACUUGGAAACUGCCCAGUUCAACAGAAAGCAGUGGAAGACUGGUGGGGCAGGGAGAGCGCUGACCCCAGUGAGCGGUUUUAACAACCAUUGGCGUAGAGUUGAUUCAACAGUAUUUGGCUCUUUGUAGAAACUGGGUUGGUUUUCUGUGGAGUAUUAACUGCAUUUCUCAAAACCAUAGCCUGUGGCCGAUUAGCCAGCAAACCCUGCAUAGGGUGAAGUCAGGCAAUGAGGACGUGAGCAGACCAGUAAGGGCAGAGCAGGUCACCCAUGCCGUGUAAUUUUAGGAACUUCUCAUUUAUAGGAGAGAAACAUUGCCAAAGUGUGGCCCACGUCAUCAUGGGGAGAAGCGUUAGCUUGAACUGCCACACAUGCCUGGGGCUGGAUAGAAAUAAGGCAGCAGGCUUGAAGGAAAGCAGGCAGUGGCGUAACAGUAAAUGUAGGAUUUUUCUUUGUCCUGCUAGCUAGGGCUUCUGUGUUGACAGCUGGGGGGAGGAUGGGGUGGGGCAGGAGCCAGGACCAUGGGACGCCCAGUAAAGAAGGAUCCCCCGGGCAGGGGAGUUCUCUACCUUCGGUGCUGGGGUUGGGUGGGGGAGCCCAUGGCAUGGGAGGCAGAAAUGCACUGGCUGACAGUAUAGUUCAUUUGUUUGAUGUUUGCUACUAGGAACCAAGCAUCACGCUGGACUGAAAAGGUUUUUGGCCUGGACAGGAGUUCCCCCACUGGGAACCACACACAUCAUCCGUGUCUCUCCUUCCAGGUCGGUCUGGUCAAUGGCACCAUCACCCACCCACCCUAGACCAGACUAGACACCUCAGGGUCAUUAUUGACUCCUUCCUCUCCGCUCAAUGACAGCCAGUUCUCCUCUGCUCUCAAACCUGUCUCCAUCUCCCCACCGUCAGCUCCCAGCUCCUGCUCUACCUGCAGGCUGGCAGGCUGUGCCCCAAGGCACUCCCUGCUGAGCAAUCCCCACAGGCUCCAACAGCCAGAGCCCCAAGCCCAGACUCUUUUGCAUGGCCUCAGGGCUCUUACGUGUCUGGCCUUAACCUAUUUUUGGCUUUAUCUUCUGCUACUUUCCUUCCUCCGUACCUGGGCUUUAAUCACCAUGAACAAAGUAGUUGCUUUUCUUGUAAACAUUGUAGAUACCCAUUAACUAUGGCAGCAAUAGUAGAGUGGUAAAGAGGGUGAACUCUGGGGUGAAGUACCGGUGUCCGAGUCCAAGCCCCUCUGUUUACGGCUGUGUGGAUUUGGAUAGGUUACCAAACUCUGGGCCUCUGAGAGGCUCUCUCCUGUCCCUUCCCAACCUGCUCACAUUGUUCUCUUUGCCGUUCCUUUUCCACUGAAUUCCUACUCACCCAUGAAGCCCCAUCUCCAGUGCGGCACCUGCUCUGACUCUGCUGGGCAGGUGAGCUUGUCCCUCUCGUGCACACCUGUGGCACUGCUCCCCUCACAGCAGCCCUCGGCCCGGGGGUGGGAGACUCCCCCGACUCCCCUCAGAACCCCGGGCCCAGCAAACCACCUGGCACCUGGCAGCCGCCCACAUGAGCAUGGGACUCCACGAACGGGGCUUUGUAGGGGGCUUUGGAAAUAGCGGCAUCUGCUCCCCUCACCCGUCUGUCUGCUGAGCUCCUGAGGCAACAACGAGUAUCCCCCUUCCCUGUUUUAUGGCCGUUUUUAUUUUUGGAGGGGCAGUCUGCAAAGUGCCAGCAGUCCCCGAGGGCAAUGGACUUUCCUCCAGGUCAUUAGGAAGAAGCCCCUGGAAAGGAUCUUCAUGCCAGACCAAUGCUUGGCUAUUCUCGUUCUUUCUUUCAACCCACACCCACUGUGCACUUGCUAUGAGGACGCCAGGCUCUCAGGCCAUAGUGGGGUCCACACCUGUCACUUCACCUGCCCUCAUGUCGCAGGCCAGUGACUAGAUGGGAAGGCCCAGCAAUCACCAGGGUGAUUUCCAUUAGAAAGAGAGGAGAAUGGGUCUAAUUUCAGGGAGGGGGGCUGGCAAACACAGCCUGGGGGCUCAGGAGAGGACUGGGAGGCCAUGUCUGAGCAAGGCUCGGUUGCUUGUAAAGAAUGGUACCCCGUUCCCACAUCAGAAGAGUCAGCUGAACCCCGGGCUGCAGUCCCAAUAGUGCACUGCUGAGCCUGGCGCUCACCUGCAGGGUAGAUGGCACCUCAGUGCCACACCUGAGCCUCUGAGCUCUCCAGGAGGGCAUAGGCAGGCAUGUAUCAGGCACCACUGCUCACCCUGCUCGUGAGUGACGUUUUUCUGAGCACCAGGCAAGCACUUCUCCCCGGCUCUGUCCAUGCUGCCAUUGCCUUGGUUUGACUGAAUCUUCAAGGACAGGCUUGUCAUGCUAAGGGCCAUUUUCCACUUUGAGGCAUUCUUUUCUUGGUUCUCUGGUUUUAAAGAGCACUUGAUAAAAUAAAUCAGAGCACUGCUUCCCCCUCUGUCUUCCCCAUCCCAUCUACCCUUAUAACAAGAGCAGAAUCUCAUGGGGCAUACCGAGGGGUGGAGCUGGAAAGGAACAUAAAAUCACCUUCCAAACCCAGCUCAGUAUCCAAGGGAAACCUUCCUUGGAGCUGUCUCUCCCCACUCCUCAGCAAACCAUUCUGUCCUCUGUACCAGCUCCAUGUCUUGCCCAUGUUUUUGUAAUUAUACUCAUCACUGCCUAUUUGUUUUAUUUGCUACCUUGUGUGUCCUCUUUUAGCCUCUUGAUAAAACCUUAUUCAUCUUGGUGUCUCCAAUGGAGUCCUACAUGUGGGAGGGAAGAAAGAAGGAAGAAAGGAAGGGAGGGAGGAAGGAAGGGAGGAGGGAAUCGAGUUCAACCCCUUUUAUAUUCUGGAGGGAGAAACUAAGGCCCAGAGAAAAGUGACUUUUCCACAGUCACACAACUAGCCAGGGGAAGCAUGGAGCUAGAACUCAAGAAUCCUAAUGCUCAGUUUAGUGUCCAUUUUACCAAUUGGGCUGCUGACCCACACGAAGCUGCUUGGCCCAGGAAGCAAGUUGUGCGGUGCCUGGGCUACAGUAGAUCUAGAGUCCCUGAGCUGCAGAUGGGCAGCUAGGAGGGGUGACCACAGCUUCAUCCUGACUUGUCUCACUCACCAUGGCCCCGAGCAGACCAAAUGCACAUCCCUCUUGAUAUGGUUUGGCUGUGUCCCCACCCAAAUCUCAUCUUGAAUUGUAGUUCCCAUAAUCCCCACAUGUCGUGGGUGGGACCUGGUGGGAGGUAAUUGAAUCAUGGGGGCGGGUCCCCCAUGCUGUUCUCAUGAGUGAGUUCUCAUGAGAUCUGAUGGUUUUGUAAGGGGCUUUCCCCCCUUUGCUUGGCACUUCUCUCUCUCCUGCCACCUUGUUUGCUUCCCCUUCCACCAUGAUUGUAAGUUUCCUGAGGCCUCACCAGCCAUGCUGAACCAUGAGUCAGUUAAACCUCUCUCCUUUAUAAAUAACCCAGUCUUGUGUAUUUCUUCAUAGCAGCAUGAGAAUGGACUAAUACACCCCUCAGCCAUGGCCCUGUCCCCCAGCAGAUCCUGACAGCCAAGAGGGGUAGAGGUGCCCCGAAAGCCGUGGGGAGUCCCAUGCCAUUCAGCAUCUCAAGAAGCGGUGCAGCAGAGAAACCAGCUACGAGGUCCCUCACCUGUUUUUCCUCAAAUGGCAAGCCCAGGAAGGGGGCAGAGGCCACGUUCAGUGGGGUGAUGCUGUCCGAGGUGAAGGGCUUUCUAGCUCUGGCAAAGAGGUGAGCAGAAGGCCCCACCAGGGCCUCCCUAGAUCCUGAAGUGAUGCUCCCAAGCCACCUCAUUCCCCUGCCAGGCUCGGUCCUCCAUCUUCUCUGCCACCUGUCUUGGUCCCAUGCCUCCUUUAAGGGCUCCCAAGCUUCCCUGUAGGCUGAGCCCUCCUGGCGGCCUGGGAAGGAGCAAGGUCUCCGCUUCAGGAGCAGAGGCAGCCUCUCCAGUCACGGAGUGCUUCCCAUUGCCUGGCAGAGCUCCUGGGAGGCUGGAAAAGUUUUGAUUAUGAACACAGCCAAGCAGCUAAUUAAAAUAAUAAAUUAGAGAAAAACAUUGCAGGGGUAAUGGUAGCUGCAGGGAGCCGUGGAGGAAAAGGGAGGGGAAAGAAACACAUCUUCUAGGUGGCCGCCUAGGAAAGCCUGGGCCACAUUUUCUUUUUAGGGCCAUGAAAGAGGCAUGAAAGUGUGGCAUUUUGGUUCCUCCUCUGCUCAGCAGGAUCAUCCCAUAAUGAUUAUGGCUUAACUGAAACCCUAGGUGGGGUGGGGCGGUGGGAGUCAGAGAUAGGGUGACGGGGAAGAAUUGCCACCUGAAUCCUGCUUCGUGUUUUGCAAACUUUGGAAUGUGACCCAUUUGGGUGAUAAAAUAAAUUUAGUGGGUUGUAACCUGCACUAAAAAAAGUGAGCUAAAAUAGUAGAGAAAAUAUCAGCAUGCAUCUGUAUUAGGAUUUUCUAGAUGGGUAGAACUAAUAGAAUCUACGUAUAUAUGAAAGGGUGUUUAUUAAGGAGAAUCGACUCACAGGAUCACAAGGUAAAGUCCCACAAUAGGUCGUCUGCAAGUUGAGGAGCAAGGAAGCCAGUGGUGGAUCAGUCCGAGUCCCGAAACCUCAAAAGUAGGGAAGCCGACAUUGCAGACUUCAGGCUGUGUCCAAAGGCCCAAAAGCCCCUGGCAAACUACUGGUGUAAGUCCAAGUGUCCAAAAGCUGAAGAACUUGGAGUCUCAUGUUCGAGGGCAGGAAGCAUCCAGCAUGGAAGAAAGAUGAAGGCCAGAAGACUCAGCAAGUCAAGUCCUUCCAUGUUCUUCUGCCUGUUUUAUUCUAGCCAUGUUGGCUGCUGAUUAGACGGUGCCCACCCACAUUGAGGGUGGGUCUGCCUGCCCCAGUCCACUGACUCAAAUGUUAAUCUCCUUUGGCAACACCCUCACAGACGCACCCAGGAAAAAUACUUCACAUCCUUCAAUCCAAUCAAGUUGACACUCAGUGUUAACCAUCACAGCAUCAUAUACCGUAAGGGUAAGUUUAGUUUUCUGAAUGUUUCGUGUGAGCAUUUCUUAUGCUUCCAUGCAUAUCAUGAGUCACCAUCAGAAAAGUCUCAAAGUCAGCACUAUGGACAGAGAAAGUCAUUAAAGAGACCAGGCAUGCCCAUCAGUCUAAUCAUAAUAGUUAUGCAUAAUAGCUAAGCACUGAGUAUGUGGCACAAAUUGUGCUAUUUUUCUAAAUAGUAACCUCUAAUUCUUACAGGUAUUGGUAUUCUCAUGUAGCAUAUGAAAAAACUGAGGCUCAGUGAGAUUAAGUGAUUUGCCUAAUGUCUUAGUUCAAGCUGCUGUAACAAAAUGCCACAGUCUGGGUGGCUUAAACACCAGAAAUUAAUUGUCUCACAGUUCUGCAGGCUGGGAAGUCCAAGAUCAAGGUGAUCUGUUCUGGGUGGGGCUCUCUUCCUGGCUGGCCAAUGGCCGCCUUCUUGCGGUGUUCUCACCUGGUGCUUGUCUAUGGAGAAAAAGAGAGCUCUCCCUCUCUUCCUGUUCUUAGAAGACCAUCAAUCCUAGCAGAACAGAGCCAUGCCCCUAUGGACUCAUUUAGCCUUACUUACCUCCCUGUCUCCAAAUACAGGCACAUUGCUGGUUAGGGCUUCAACAUAUAACUUUUGGGGGACACAAUUCAAUCUGUAGCACCCAAUGUCCCAGGGCAAAUAAAUAAUGGAGUCUGAAUUUGAAUCCAAACUUGAGUCUGAGCCUUCCCAGCAUGCUGUGCUGCCUCGUUAAUUCAUGAAUGCCCCGAGGACACUAGGAAAGUGUGCAAUUUAGAGCUGGGGCUGCAAAGCGUGGUGACCAAGCACACAGGCCUGGGGCCAGGCAGCACUGGGCUACAGCUCCGGGACAAGGCACAGUGCUUCCCAUUCCUAAAGCAGGGCUCUAAGAGAGCCAUUCACAGCUUCAGGCAGGGCUGGGAGGAUUAAUGGGAUGAUGCACCUGCAAGGACAAGCACAGAGGCCCACCAUAGUGAGUUCCAGGAACGCUGGGAACUUUGUUUACUGAUAGACCCUAUGGGCCUAGACCCAUGCCUGGCACUUACUAGGUGCUUCAUACAAAUUGUGGACUGAGUUUUUAAUUGUCAUUUUCAUCACUGACCUGGUAUUAGAAUACCUGGGUGCCAGUGUUAGCUUUAGCAACACUAUCAGACCUUGGGUGAGAUUCAGAACCGGGUGGCCUGUUCCCUGUCUGUAAAGUGAGGAUAAUAAUGACAGUGACCAUCCAACAGCUCCUGUCAAAUGCUGGGCUCAGAACUGCAUUGGGGCCAACCCAGGUUUCCCCUCUCUGUGCUGGGUUUCGAUAAAGAGUGCAGGGUGAUAGACUAGAGAGGACCUCGUUCUGGGGGAGAAAGGAAGCUUGUGUUUCCCCUGUGCUGUGCCUCAUACCUCGGCAGGCUCAGGCAGGAGGACCGCGAUUGGACGCUGGGGGUGUCUGUGUGGGAGGGAACCUUCUCUUGUUGGAAGGGAUCCUCACUGGCCAACGCCCCCUCCUGGGGAAUUCUGGUGAGUUCCUAGGGACUUGGUGCUCUGUCCCUAGGGACUGGGCCUGCAGGCUGCCCAGUGUCUACCCCGGAGGAGAUUGCAGCAGGUCUUGGGGACCGGACGCCAGGAACCCCUGUGUUGGAGACUGAGGUCUGAACCUUCAAAAUCCAACCAUCCCCCACCAGGGAAAGAAGUCUGAGCUGAGCUGGUCCCUGGGAAGCUGGUCCACGGCCAGCCAGGCCCUCGGCAGGGGUAUUUUUAACUGGAAGCAGGGAGCGCUGCAUGAAGGAAGCUCCCCUUGCUGGCAACUGCACCAGUAACACACUUGCUGCGCAGCUGUGUGCACUGCCACCCACAGGCCCUUCUCCUUCCCUCCCCAAAAGGAUGCACACACCCAACAGGCCCUGGGUCCUCCCCAACCGUGGUCACCAUGUCUGCUGCCCACUCCCACCUACGGGACCUUGGCACAGGCAGGAGCGCAGGGUCCGAGGCCUUCCACAAAUAUUUGGGCAGAGCACCUCAAGACAGCCCUAGGGACUAAAGAGCCGAUGACCCUCUGGCCCCAUCUGCUACUGCCCAGCCCUCUCCUGGUGCCCGGCCGGUGGUGUCUACACGGAGUCCACCUCCUCUACCCUCCCGUCUCUGCACUUUCCUGAAAGUGCUUUCCCCACAGCUGCCCCUCUGUUGCUAAGCCCAGUGGCCUCUCACCGCUGACCUUCUCAGGCCCCUGGCUUCCCUCCCACCUCGCUGACUGUUCCGCCUCAGGCUCCCCUGAUCAAACUGUAAGCACUGAUCAGCUUGUCUGGGGCUCUCUUGGUUUUAGACUAAAAGUCUCACAUCCUGGGAACUCCCUCAGUUCAGGGCAAACUGGGACUGUGGGUCACCCCAGACUCACCCUGACCUUGGGGACACCCCAGAUCACCCUGACCUUGGGGACACCCUAGACUCACCCUGACCUGUGGGGACGCCCAUGUCUCCUUCUUGCCUCUCGUUUCCUCUUGAUCUCCAUGCUCUCCCUAAGGGAUCUCCUGUAUUUCUGUGGCUGCAGCUGCCAUUGGGGUGGGGAUGAUCCCCAAGUCUGGGGUGCCAGCCUAACUUUCUCCUGAGAUCCAGACCUGUAAGCUAACUGCCUACAGGGCAUCUCUGCUCAGAGGUCUCCUGGCACCUCGAAAAGUCACCAUGUCUACAUCUGACCUCACCAUCUGACCCCAAACUUCUCUCUCCAGUCUCUGGUUUCAAUGAAGAGCUCUACCAUCCAUCAGGAGAUUCAUAUCCCAGGCACCUCUUCCAGCCAAAGGAAUCUCUUCUUGUCAAUUUCACCUCCUAAGUCCCUUGACUCCAAGUAUUUCUGUCCCCGCUGUCAUCCCCACAGUGCAGGUCAUGACCAUCUCUCACUUUGAUCGGUGCGAAGUCUAGAGGAAGUGUCAACAGUGGCCAUUCCUGGGAUGGCCAGUGGUAUGGGUUGGACUGUGUCCCCCCAAAUAUAUGUUGAAAUCCUAACCACCGGAACUGUGAACAUGGCCUUAUUUGGAAAUAAGAUCUUUGCAGAUGUAGUCAAGUUACAAUGAGGUCAGAAGGGUGGGCCCUAAUCCAACAUGACUGGCGUCCUUGGAAGAGGAAGACGUCACGCGAAGACAGAGACACACAGGAGAGCAGCAUGUGACAGCAGAGGCCUUAGAGAUUGGAGGGAGGCAGCUGCAAGUCAAGGAGUGCUGAGAAUUGCCAGCCACUCUCAGAAGCUGGAAGAGGUGAUAAAGGGUCCCUCCCCUAGAAGCUCCAGAGGAAGCACAGCCCUGCUGAUGCCCUGAUUUUGGACUUGUAGCCUCCAGAACUGUGAGAGAGUGAAUUUCUGUUGCUUAAAGCUAUCCAGUCUAUGGCACUUUGCUACAGCAGCCCUGGGAAGCUAACAUAGGGAGAUAAGGACAAUUUUCAUUUUCUUAGCAUACUUUUCAGUAUUUUAGAGGUGAUCUGUAGUGGAUACACAAGACUUUUAUGAUUAGGAAAAACAUAGUCAUUCUUAAAAAGAAGUGCUCAUCAGUAGGAAUCCUAAGCGUCCUAUUGGAUUUGUCCCUGAGAAUUGAAGCCAUCUAUGCCACACAGUUUACUGUCCUCAUCAACACAGCUUUUUUAUUCCACAGGAGACUCUUGCCCAGGAAGAUAAAAGCUGAACAUAAUUUUAUUGUUCAUUUCGGGGACUUUGCAAAUAACAUUUACACAAACAGCAGAUUGUACAACUUUUUAAUAGCAUCUAAUGACUGUCUUUUCACCAAGACUCUUCAAAAACUCUUGCCUUGCCAUGUCUUCCCAUCCCAAACUCCUAGGUCAUGGCUCUUCCCAAUCUUAAUCAAGUCCCUGCAGGAAAGAUGCUCAAAACUCAGACAUAUCCCAUUUGCAUUUGGUUUUCUGAGAUGAUUCUAAGACUCUGUAAAGGGUCUUCUCCCUUACCAUGGUAGCAGGAAACCUGGCUGCCUUAUCUGAGGGUUGAUUUGGUGGUAUUUUCAGGCAUUUGACAUCUGAUAUUCAAAAUAUUGCAUUUAUGGAAUGCAACCCCAAUCAUCCCUGAAUUGUAGCCAGGGAAACAGGCUCCUCGAACUUCAGUUGCUCAAGGCCACACCAUUAGUAGCUGGCAGAGCCUAGGUCCAGCUGCCUGCAAAGCCUGCACUCUUACCCUUCUCCUACUUUCCCAAAUUUAGUGAGACUGUAAUACAAAAUACUUAUAUUCUGGUGUCUGGCUAUUUUUGGGUGGUAUUCGGCUCCCAAUUGUCCAGAUAAUGGCCCCAAGCGGACAGGCUAUGGUCCUCAGGAAGACAUCACCCAGGCAGGUUUCCUGCGGGGAGUCACCAUAGAGACCAUUUCCAUCACAGGCAGCAGCAGCCUGAGCUUCCGGGACUUCUGUUUCCCUGCCCUGGGCCUGGAGAAUGUUAACCAUGAAAGGCAAAUGGGCUUCGGUUGGAAACAAGCCAUUAUUAGCCACUAUUUCAGGCAGUCACAUUUCCCACAAGGCACUUGUGCAACAAGUUAGCAGGGAAGAAAGAAGCCGAGCCUUUGUACGGCGGGGCCAGAACACAAAGCUCAUUGUGAUGUUUGUGCUUCUAUUCAGACGCCACGUGGUACGGACUCCACGCCAACCUGCAGACUGGAUUCUUUUCUUCCCCCUCAGUAACAAACAUACACAUUUGCUUUAAAGUAGGCAGAAUUUGCCCAUGGGUGGUCUUUGAUUUGGAAGAAAUCAACUUCAAAGUGGUGACUCACAAAAAACAAAGGUGGCUUGACUCAUUCAGUGCUCGGGAAAGGGGAUGUGUGUGCAGAAUUCACUCAUCCAGAAGCAGAAGUUGAAGACAAGGAGUAAAUACUUCAGGUAGACAAUCAGCCAGUCAUCCUGCUUGGUCUUGUAAUGGGCCAUGGCUGCUGAGUCUAGAGAAGGCACACAGGCUGGGCUGGGGAAUUACCGAGAGCCACCUCACCCCUCCAGGAGCCAGGGCGCCUCAGCCAGGUUCCCUUUGAAGGGCUUAUUUGCCUGUCUUGCCAGGGAUCUUUGAGGCUGUGGGUGUGCAGCAUAGAGUAAAGAUCAGGGAAUCGCAAAGGCUACUGGAUGCCUUAGUGGAGGUGAAUUUGGGCAGAAUUUUCCAGACCUUCAGGUGCCGGUUUUGUUCUCUUGACAAAGGUCUAACCCACAAAUCUUCCACAGAUUUCCCUGGCCUUGUUGUGUUCUUAUUCUCUUUCCCUGUCUCAUCAGGGUUGCAGGACACAAGUUUAUCUGUCAUAGACACACACUCUUUCUCUCUCUCUCUCUCUCUCUCUCACACACACACACACGUUCAGCAUGGCUGCUUUGCAGUGGAAACCUGUACUGCACAUCCACAGGUGUGGCAGGAGUCCCAUAUCAGAGCAUCUGUGCCGGAAAGACCUCAAUGAUGACCCAUUCUACCUUACCUGGCCUCUACACCCCUUGACUUCCCAGAUGAGGAAGCAGGUCCAGACAGGCCCAGACUGUUUGGCAGAAGAAGUCUAAGAGCCUCUGGAGUCUUAACUCCUUGGGUUCAAACCCUGAUCUGUCACAAGGUGUGUGACACUUUGGGCAAGUGACAUGACUUCCCAUCUCUCAGUGUUCUCAUCUGUAAAUGGGGAUAAUGAUACCUACAUCACAGGGUUGUUUUGAAGAUUGAAUGGGAUAAUCUAUGUGACGUGUUUAGCAUAGUCCUUGGCACAUAGUAAGUAUUUAAUGUUAGCUUUUAUUAUUACAUGCCAUAGAGCUGGUACUAGAACCUACGACCCCAAUCCUAAAACUCCACUCUUUGCCCCAGCACCAUGCUCUGUCUCUUGUCCGGACACCCGUCAAUGGACUUUCUAGGGAAAGUCAACAUUGGUGAUAAAGGCAGAGAAGGCCCACUGUACUCAGUAAUCGCAUUUGCUUCUUAGUCAGUCUGAACCUCAGUAAGUCUGAAGCCUCUAUGGUUUCCUCUUCACCUGGACCUACUUGUACCCCUGGGCACCUGCACACUCACAGAGUAGUUGCUCUUUAAGAAAUUGUCCCCAUUUUGGGAAGCUCUUUUAUUUCAGAACCAUACGCAAUGAGGCAUUGGUUUUGCCCAUGACCUUCUCUUCCUCUAUCAUUCCCAACCCCCCAUCAGGCCCUCCUCCCCGCUUGCUCUUGCCUCUUUGGCUGGUGCUGGGCCAAAGCCCAAAUUACUUCCCUGAGCCACUGCUCUGCCUUUUAUUUCAAGCUUAUGGGCUCAUGGAGACAGGGAGAGAAGAGGAGAGAAAAGAAAAGGUGGCUGUCUUAUUUGGGAUUUCUAUUUGCAGACCUUGAAGAAGGUAAUUUAAGACUGUUAGUCUUCUCAUUAAAAAAAGACAAAACCCAUU
rnacentral:lncRNA from 1 species